GCUAGUAAGGAUCAACUGGGUGUGAAAGAUUCAGGCACAAUUGACAAUAGCUCUAUCAAGGAACAUCCACCAUCUGCCAGACUACACAAAGAACUUUCUGUGCGUAUUUCUCAGAAAAAUGUAGAGAAAAAACGUGUACCUACUGAUACUAGUGUUUCAUGUAGUCCUGGGAAAUUGGGAACUCCGAAAACAGCGAUAAGCGUGUACCUACUGAUACAAGUGUUUCAUGUAGUCCUGGGAAAUUGGGUACUCCGAAAACAGCGAUCAGGGAAGGUAAAAGUGACAGUGUGUCCCCCAAAAAAUCCCCUGGAUCCACUGCAAAACCAGCGGCAGAGCCACAAAAAGG
rnacentral:lncRNA from 1 species